GAACGGGUGAGUAACACGUGGGUGAUCUGCCUAGCACUCUGGGAUAAGCUUGGGAAACUGGGUCUAAUACCGGAUAGGAACCGUCUUUAGUGUGGUGGUUGGAAAGUUUUUCGGUGCAAGAUGAGCUCGCGGCCUAUCAGCUUGUUGGUGGGGUAAUGGCCUACCAAGGCGUCGACGGGUAGCCGGCCUGAGAGGGUGUACGGCCACAUUGGGACUGAGAUACGGCCCAG
rnacentral:rRNA from 1 species